UGGACAAAUUAUUGUAUUCGACUGUAUUCAUGGCGUGAAACAGAGGAUUACACUAUUUUUAAACGGAAAGUGAAUCAAUUAACAUAAUAGACUCCU
rnacentral:pre_miRNA from 1 species